AAUCUGUGUUGUGGGCAUCUCAGGAGUUCCUUGAAGUGCUCCCAUGUCUCAAACAAUGACUCAAACUCCAUCUGUGCAAACUAUGAUAUCUCAUUUCGAAGCUU